GUGGGUUGUGGCUCAGUGGUGGAGCGCUUGCCUAGCAAGUGUGAGGCACUGGGUUCAAUCCUCAACACCACA
rnacentral:tRNA from 1 species